rnacentral:lncRNA from 1 species
GUCCAUCUCUACUCUUCAGAAAGACUAUCAAAAGAUUUUGAAAUAUAAGAUUUUGUUUAUUUUAUUUUAUUUUGCUUAUCACUUCAACAAUGACCUUUUUCUCUUUAUUUAUUAUUAUAGAUUGAAUGUACCUCUCAAAUGCCAGUGGCCAGGCAUUCCAGGAUAGUCCCCUGUUGGAAAAGAUGGUGUGGGGCUGGUUUCUCAUGCAAUCUUCUUGAGCUAUGUGCCUCCACAGGUGAUGAGAGAAGGAUUCUCUGCAGCCUAAAGAAACAUCAUCUUCCCAGAUCCCCAGAGAGAUGUGUCCCAAAGACCUUGUUAAAACACCAAAGGUGUUGAAUCUACUAUUCCUUUUGACCAGGCACGGUGGAAAUUUCCAUUUACCAGCUGAAGUAUUACCACCAUGAGGUAAAUAGAGUUUAUAUUUCACUCUGCACAGUUUCCUUUGAAAUUAUGUAAUUUUUAUAAGCAUUUUAAUAAGGUGAGAUUAUUUGAUAUUGCAUUAAAUAUAAAACCAUCUACACCAGUAUACUUAAAAUCCUGGAGAGUAGGAAUUGUGACUACUAUCCAUGAGUGUCCUCCUCUAUCACCUAAUAUAAUACCUAAAAUGCCACAAAAAUUUAUGGUUUGCUAUUAGCUUUGAGAAAAAAAGUUGAAACUCUCAAAUUCUAUUAACAUGUCUAUUCUACAAUACUAAUAUUAAUUUGAUUAAGGUGUCAGAUAACUUAAAGCAGAUUAAGAUACAUAAUGGAAAGUCAGGGUGGCUUAUCAUCCUCAUGGAUUGGGAAUAUAAGUUCAUUUAGACUAUGUCUCCAAAUGAUAUUUGUUUUGAAAAAAUUGCCUGUACAAUUUAAGUUUUCAAAAGCUGUCAGUCCAUGCAAAACAGCUGAAAAAAAUUGAACAAAAUGGCAAUAAGUACAUACCUAUCAACAAUUACUUUAAAUGUCAAUGGGCUAAAUUCUCCAAUCAAAAGACAGACUGGCUGAGUGGAUAAAAAACAAGACCCAUCUAUACGCUGCCUACAAGAAACCCAUUUCAGAUGUAAGGACACACAGACUGAAUGAAAAGAGAUGGAAAAAGAUAUUACAUGCAAAUGGAAACCAAAAGAAAGCUGGGGUAGCUAUAUUUAUAUACAAAAAAGUAGACUUUAAAACAAAGAGUGUAAUAAGAGACAAAGAAGGGUAUUAUAUAAUGAUAAAGGAGUCAAUCCAACAAGAGGAUAUAACAUUUGUAAAUAUUUAUGUAGCCCACAUAGGACCAUUUAAAUAUAUAAAGCAAUAUUAACAGAUGUAAAGGGAGAAUAGACAGUAAUACAAUAAUGGGAGACUUUAUUACCACAUUUACAUCAAUGGAUACAUCACCCAGAUAGAAAAAUCAAUAGGGAAACCAUCCUUAAAUGACACAUUAGAGAAGAUGGACUUAUACAGAUACAGAACAUUCCACCUAAAAGCAACAGAACAAAAAUUCUUCAAGUGUAUAUGGAACAUUCUUCAGUAUAGAUCAUAUAUUAGCCCACAAAACAAGCUUAAUAAAUUUUAGAAGACUGAAAUCCUAUCA